rnacentral:rRNA from 1 species
CGUAGGGUGCGAGCGUUAAUCGGAAUUACUGGGCGUAAAGCGUGCGCAGGCGGUUGGCAAAGUCAGCUGUGAAAGCCCCGGGCUUAACCUGGGAAUGGCGGUUGAAACUAGUCGACUAGAAUCUGGCAGAGGGGGGUGGAAUUCCACGUGUAGCAGUGAAAUGCGUAGAGAUGUGGAGGAACACCGAUGGCGAAGGCAGCCCCCUGGGCUGAGAUUGACGCUCAGGCACGAAAGCGUGGGGAGCAAACAGGAUUAGAUACCCUGGUAGUCCACGCCCUAAACGAUGUCAACUAGGUGUUGGGAGCGCAAGUUCUCAGUACCGCAGCUAACGCGCGAAGUUGACCGCCUGGGGAGUACGGUCGCAAGAUUA